GAUCAUGGCUCAGAUUGAACGCUGGCGGCAUGCUUUACACAUGCAAGUCGAACGGUAACAGGUUAAGCUGACGAGUGGCGAACGGGUGAGUAAUGCAUCGGAACGUGCCCAGUCGUGGGGGAUAACGCAGCGAAAGCUGUGCUAAUACCGCAUACGAUCUAUGGAUGAAAGCGGGGGACCGUAAGGCCUCGCGCGAUUGGAGCGGCCGAUGUCAGAUUAGCUAGUUGGUGGGGUAAAAGCCCACCAAGGCGACGAUCAGUAGCUGGUCUGAGAGGACGAUCAGCCACACUGGGACUGAGACACGGCCCAGACUCCUACGGGAGGCAGCAGUGGGGAAUUUUGGACAAUGGGGGAAACCCUGAUCCAGCAAUGCCGCGUGAGUGAAGAAGGCCUUCGGGUUGUAAAGCUCUUUUGUCAGGGAAGAAACACCGGCUCUAACACAGUCCGGGAAUGACGGUACCUGAAGAAUAAGCACCGGCUAACUACGUG
rnacentral:rRNA from 1 species